UUGUUUGUUUUGUUGUGUGGGUUUGGUUUUCUUUGUUUGGUUGGUUUUUUUUUUAAUAAUGAAUCUCCUUCAUCUGACCCCAUGCACCAGCCCUGGCAGUUUGCAAUUUUCCCCAGCUUUGCACAUAGCAUGACAGUCCCAACCUCGGCUUUCCGGGCACUGCCAGUGUUCGUAGCAGCUUCGGCCGCUUGCCACAGUGUGGAAAAUGGGUGUGGUGGUCACUCCAACGGGUUUUUGGCAGCACCUCUUGCCUUCUCUUGGCUCAAAGAGUGCCCAGAGUGUAGCACUGUCUGGACAGGGAUUUCAUUACCCGCCAUGCAGCCUGCCAGUGCAACCUUGUCAUUGCAAUUUGUCACACGUAUUUGGUAUAUGUUUAGUAUCUGGCUGAGGGCUCGUUUGCCAAGCGAUUCAUCUAUUCACUACUUCUCUGCUACAGAGGGUGGUUUGGUCUGUCCCGUGGGGCUGUGCCGAGCUCGCCGAGGGAGCGCUGGCCCUCCAAAGCAGAGAGGUGUGAACCAGCAGCAUGAGCUUCCCUACCACCCACCUCCUUUUUCCACUAGAGGGGCGGUAUUUUUGCAGAAAAUAACUGUUUUUGUCAAAACAGUAAUUUCAAAAGUUCUUUUUGUUGUUCGGGGAUGGAAACCUUCUGCAGAGGCACCAGCUCCCCACUCCUCCCCUCCUUGUCUUCACAGUUAUUUGCUCUAUUUAUUUACUGCAAAAUUUGCUCUAUUGCCUGACAUUUUUCGGUUAUCAAAAUAUUUUGAUUAUGUGCAGGGGAGGGGGUGGGUUGAUAGUGCAGCUGACAUCUCGAUAGAAAAUUGCCUGUAAAAUAUUCUAACUAAAUUCAAGACUGGGAAGAGUGAGAUACUCCAGCCUGUCUCAGGCAAACCCUUCGCAUCGCUCCUGCGACCAGGGCUUGUGCAGAGCCCUGGGUUGGCUUGGAUGCAUUUCCCUGGAUAUUUCCAGCCCUUUUGGGUUUGAAAGCUUGGCUGGAGCGUGAGCUCUCCCCAUGGUUGCAUCAAAUACAGCAAGCACAGAAAGGAGGGCAGAGCAGAAGGUGCUGCUGUGUGAGACACGACCCGAAACUGCUGUGGAGGUUUUGAUGCAGCAUGAGAGGAGGCGGAGGGAGAAUACAAAAAGCAGAUCUCGGAGGGGCAGGAGGAGAGUUGCACAUCAAGGUCACUCCAAAAAGAGCUGGAGCACAUUCUGCUUUGUUUCCUCUUGCUGUGAGAACUGGAAACACGGCUGUCUAUAGGGUAAGCACCAGCGUGUUGGCUGUGGAGAUGUCUUCUGGCUUCGUCCUUAAGCAAGUGCCACUGGCAGAAGAUGGGCUGAUCUGUUCAAAGAGGAAAUGUUGGAUGUGUGGGAGGCCAAAAGCUGCAUGCAGCACGGAGAAUGACUGCACUACCCAUGGCUUGCAAAUGCACUUAAAAUCGUGCCAUUUGGGACAGAGGACCAGACACUUACUUGCCACAUCGGGCUCAAUUCCAGUGAAAUCUAAUAAAAGCUUUAUGCUUUCCACCAAAACUGCAAACUGUAGCAUUGUUCAUAGAGAAAGAAGUGAUAUAAGGAAACAAUUGCUUAGCAUCAUCACCGGACGUCUGUCUCUGAAAGCUGCAGUCAUUCCUGGAGCUCGUGACGCCUCCAUGUCUCUGUGCCUGUCACCAGCCGUGGAUGUCUCUGUACCUGUCACCAGCCGUGGCUUGUGCGUGAAGCUGCAGGUGAGCAGGGCUCUGCGUGCAGGGGAAAGGUACAACUCAGGCCGGGGACGUGAAGAUGAACUCCUGCGAAGGGCAGCCAGUGGGGCUUUGCGACCCCCAGGCACCAGGACAGCCGCUGUGCAAAUCCCCUGUGGGGACGGCUGUAGGUGGAAAUGCACUGGGAAAGGCGAGAGAGGAGAAAACGUGGGAGAGAAGGAAGCAGCAGCAAAACCAGUCUAACCCCAAAGGCAGAACACCAAAAUGAGACCACCCAGAAUAUGUUUAAUUAGUACUUUUCCUAAAUUAGUGCUUGUGUCUGCUCUCAGUGCUCAUCCGUGCUUUCAUGAAAUGUCAAGUGAAACGGGCGCAAUAAGACGUUGCUCUCAGGGGAAUGGCAGGCAGGCGUGCAGGCAGCGAGGAGAAGGUGCAGGCAGGAACCCGGGGCUGCCCUUAGGACGGGGUGCGGGAUCGGGCCCCAUGCCAGCCCCAGAGCCGGUCCUGCUGGGAAUGGGUCUGUUUGCAGAUGGUACCUUUGGGGGACACACCACCGCGUGUGACGGGACAGAGCAGAGCUGCCUGCAGAAACACACACGUGUGUCCAAGCUGCUGCGGACCGCAGAUCCCCAUCCGCCAUGUGGGCUGCACAAUUUAAAAAGCGCAGACAGUGUCUGAGUUCGCCCACUAUUAUAUAUUUUAGUGGAUGCUGAGAAAUGUGAGAAACAAUUAGUGGUUUUUGAGGGAGGGGCAGGGAGAUCUCUGCUUGGGGAAGGAAGACUAAGUGCUCCAAAAGCAAGGCAAUGCUCCCAUUGCUGGCAGAAUGGCUGUCGCGGUCGUUUGCAGAAAGGAGGUCUCCGAGCCCAAAGCCUGGUCUUUUGGCCAUGUGGGUGCUGGGCAAGGCACAAAGGUGGGUGUCUCAUGGGUUGCAGCCUACAAGGGCGGUGGGAGAGCCAUGGCAGCACGGCAGGCAUCAGCUUCCAGGGAGGCGGCUACUGACACACCUUCCCCGCCUGCACGGUUGGGAGUGGUGCAGCUUGGCACCCUGCCCUGGCUGGACCCUGCCUGUGGGGGAUGCACAGAGCAGCCCAAAAUGUGCUGCUUUGUCAUGGAGGUGGGUGCUCGUCACCCCCUCUGGCAGCGCAAAUGCCGGGCCCCGGGUAGGGGCAGAUGCACUGGGGUUGCUCCUACUGCGAGUGCAGCUCCCAUCUCGCCCACACUGAAUUUCACCUUCCCUCACACCACCCAACCUGUGACCACCUCGCAUGGCCAGCUUGGCUAUUUGCUUCCCGGACAGCUUCAUAUCCUCUGCAAAUUGUGUGUCCCCAGGGCAGCCAGCUCCCCACGCCAGGCUGGCUCAGCGCUGCUCAGCCCCUCCCAGCCGGCCUGUUCCCUGGGCAGACACGUGCACAGAAUCACAGAAUUGCAGAAUCAUUUUCCUUGGAAGAGACCCUUAAGAUCGUUGGGUCCAACCAUAACCUAACUCUAGCACUAAACCGUGUCUCUGAGAACCUCAUCUACGUGUCUUUUAAACCCCUCCAGGGAUGGUGACUCCACCACUGCCCUGGCCAGCCUGUUCCAAUGCCCGACAAUCCUUUUUGUGAAGAAUUUUUUCCUAAUAUCCAAUCUGAACCUCCCCUGGUGCAACUUGAGGCCAUUUCCUCUCAUCGCUUUUCACAUGGGAGAAGAGACCAACACCCUCCGUUCUACAACCUCCUUUCAGGUAGUUGUAAGAGCGGUGAGGCAUGGCACGGCCCUGAGCACCCCGGCUUUAUGGGAGCAUGCCGAGGAGACAGGAGACAUGGAAACCCACAGCGUGAAGCCGAGGAGGGGAGCAAGGCAACCUCAUUUUGUUUUCCAGUCUGGUACGUGAUUUAGGAGAGGUGGCGAUGAGACGGUCUAUUGGAGCUGCUGCCUUUUAGUUUAUUCUUUUGCACUGGCUACUUCUAAUUAAAUAUUUUUAUUAAAAAAUAAUUAUUUCUGAAUCUUUCUCCGGGAAUGAGAUCUGCAUUUCUGUACUCCUUACAGGAAAGAAAUCCAAUAUUGUUUGAAAGAAAGAGAAACUUUUAGCCUCUUGGGGAAAAUACCUAACUGUAAAGAGACAGAAGAAAAAGCCCAAAUUAGUUUCAUGAUGUCAGUAAAUGAUACCAUGAAUUGGGAAAUCCAUGAGUUUCGCUGAAACCAGUCACCGUUUCCACCUCCCCCUGCCUCUCAUCUGCUUCAAAACACUUUUGUUCAGGCUUGAGGUUAGAGGACUGCAGAGUUAACUGAAUAUUUUCACAUCUGGUUUGAAGAAGAGUUGCAACACUAAUUUCACUGAAGAAUUAACACCAUUAAUGGAGUUUAUUUGUGUCUCUCGGUAUAUGGCAAUAUAUUGUAGCAUUCUCCUUGAGCACAUGCGUGCCAGGACUGCCUGGCCUGGCACUGCCGGCUUACCUGCUCAUCAGAGAGGAAGGUUUGCUGCCUCCCUGAGAGAUAACAGGGCUAUUCUCAACCAUGGAAAAACUUUUUACUGUUUCAUUUUAUCAGCCUCUGGCUGGGAAGGUUUCACCAUCCGAGCCCUGGAUCUUCUACAGUUUCACUGACUUCAACUUUGCGGUUUCGUGCGCUGAAAGGCAAGCAGCUGUCGAUGAUACUGAGGAAAGUUAACACGAGAGACUACUACAUGUUUUUAACCAUUUAUCUGCAUCUGCAAAAAUGCUACAGAAUGCAGAGGAAUCAGUUUUGAAAGCUGAAAGUUUUCUCUCUGGAAAACAUUUUCCCUAGUGAGUUGUGCAAAUCGAAAGGGUCGAUGAUGAGGCUUCACUUGGAGAAUGCCCCAUGGUGUGGGUCACCGGCUGUGCCUGCCCGGCCUGCUAUGGCCCUGCCGUGGUCACUAUGGAGUGGAGUUUCACAUCCUCACAGGCAAAAACAAAUUCACAAAAUGUAGAAGCAGCCGGUUCCUUUUAGCAGCACUGCUCGGGCAUCAUGGGUGGGUGUCUGCACUGACAUCUCCUGCCAGUGCUGCCGAGGCAGAGCAGAACACCUAGGAGGAGUUUGGGGGGUGGGAAGGUGCUUAGAUGGGAACAGCACCACGAUGUGCAGAAACCAACAGUGAGCUCUGCACAAGAAGAAAUGUCUGUGGGGCAUCACCCAGCACUUGGAGCUGUUGUUGGCAGAAGCACCGGCAGCUGCCCCCAAGGGGACUUUGAUGGGGUGCCCUGUAGCAAGAUGGGUGCCUUGGGGCUGGUGAAAAGCACCAGCUCAUGGUGCUGGUCACCUCUGGGUUCCAACCACCUCAGAGGAAGGCAUCGGCACCUACCGAAACUUCUGGGCAGGUUUUCUUUUCUCCAGCAACCGCAGUUUACAAACUCGAGCCAGAGCUCACCUCCUCUCUGCCGCCUCUGCCGUCCCCCGGGGAGGACGACGGGCAGGGAGCCACCGCGCUCAGGAAGAGGCUUUGUUGCAGGGCUCAGCCAUUGAAUUCAGCCACUUUCAGGGAACCCCACACUUGUUUUAAAGGAUUAUUGUUCGCUCUGGAAAGCAGUUCUGAAAUGCUGAGGCUGCAGACCCUGAACACCAGUGUGCGCCGUCAGGAGCUGCUGACCUGCCCGUGUCCCCCAGCGAAGGCUGGACUUGGACCCUGCGUGGAGCUGCCCAGAUUUUGGGGUGGUGGUGGCACAGGCCAGCGUGCAGCGUGUGCCCGGCACAGCCUCUGCGGUUGGUAAUGCACAGUGGGUCACUGUGGCUUCCUGGGGUGCUGGGAAGGAGGAGGCUGUGCGGAAAGGAUAACAGCAUUAUUUUGUUGUUGUUGUUGUUUAAUUUACAUCCUCUUCCUUCUCCCCUUGCCUUGAAGCUCCUCAUUGUGCUGGGCUGCUCCUGGGGCACAGCAAGGGCUUCAGCUCGCUUGAGGCAGAUAUUUCACUUCCUUUGCUAAGCAGUGGUUCCUUUCCAAGUCCCAGGAACACCAGGAGCACAACUGAACCAUGGCAGUGAGUGCGGCAGCUGGACAUCGCUGCAUGGACAGGGAUGGGGACAGGGACACGAGGCUUUGAGCAGGAGGGCUGCUGUGCCAGGUCACCCUCCAAGAUGUCUGGCUGAGAUGAGGCAGCCUGAGGCAUAACCAGGCUUUUACGAGGCCUUAGAGAAGGUGUCUUGGCAGUUGUCAUUUACGCCGUGCAGAGUGUAGCUCCCGCACCUCUCUCCCUAGUUGGCAAUAACUGCUAGAAAGCAGCCUUGAAGCAACAACCCGCUUUCUAAUAAAGCUGGCAAGUUUUGCCAAGAUGAAAAAUGCAGGAGAACUGCAUGCAAACAGGAGCACAGCCUGCAAACCAGACCUUGCACUGCGAUGGCCUAGUCUGAUUCAGUGCUUCCCUGUGUCCUUUGGCAGGAUAGUGGCCGGUGGCUGCUGAGCCAAGCUGCAGCCUUUGCUCUGUGCUGGUGUCCUCCUGCUCUGUUGGUGGCAUGUUGGUGGCCAGCUGUACCCCUGCAAUGCCAGAGCAAAGCAGGUCACCUCUGAUGGUGGUGGCUGUUGCACAGGUAACACAAACAGUGCAAGCUGUGGAGGUAUUGGUGCGAAAAGCCAUACACUGUGUUUGUAAAGAAUGGGUUGACAAAUCCACAAUGUUCUCUCCAUGCCCAUGUGUGACUUUAAUAAAGUGAUCCGUGCGGUA